CUGUAACUGUCACUCUGUAACUGCCACUCUGCAACGGCUUCCCACAUGGAUGGAGCCAUUGAGCAACUGGGCACCAAAAGCUAAGGGUGUCCUGAAGUUCACGGGCCUGGAGCAGCAGGCUGGGCCUUCCCUGAGACAGGAAUGAGGAUCAGGGCUUUGCGGACACCUCAGUGCGCUUUUCAAUGUGCUUUCCUGGGGCUACUGCACAGCCGGUGUCACAGCCGGUGACCUUCCUCCUCACUUGACUCUGGGGCUUGGUCCACAUCAUACCCAGCAGUCUUAAAACCUUCCACAGAAGGGGACAGCAAGGACCAGGUGUCCGAAGCCUUUCCCAUUGGCGCCUCUCCAGCUGCCUGCCCGUCUCCCAUUCUGAGGUCGCUCCACUGGCCCUCCAUGCUUCCCAGCUAGGGCCCUUUCUGCUCACACAGGGCCUGCCACAUUCCUGCUCCUGACAGCAGGCUCCUCCAGAUUAUGUCUGCAGAGGUUGAAGUCCAGACUUUCUAGGGAUGACUAUGCAGCCACUGAAUUGUUUUUUUAUAAGCCACCAACACAUUCAAAUGAGCACUGUGUUCUGAGAAGCCCCGAGGCCAGUUGGAAGAUGUACCAGUUCCCUUCAGUGGGCCCCCAGCUGACCUAUCGCACCGUUUUGGCUCCUCUGCUGUCAACCUUGACUUCCAGCCUAGACUUCCUCCUCUGAGAAGGCCAAGGUCCUAGGAACAGAGAUUAGGUGGCUUCUUGGUGAGUGCUAAGGUCCUCUGUGUGGGCCCUUCUGCCUGGGAUAGGAAGCAAGGCUGGCCAUCCUAACUCUGGACCUUUGUAUUGCCUGGUGCAGUGACCUCCUAGGGUGUGGUCCCAGCAAGCCAAUGGUCCCCAGGCUGAGGGAAGAUGUCAUGCACCUUCACAGGAGGUCCAGGCAUCAUCCAUGUAACCCCCACUCCUUCCCGGCCCUCUACCUCUCACCCUCUAUUUGUCCUCCACAGACUGGUCUAUGUGUCCUUUGCUGCAUCGGAAGGACGUGGUCUGCAAACCGUUCAAUGUUGGGCUUUGCCGAGGGGCUUUCUCUUAUCUCCCACUCUCCUUCCUCAGAACAGAAUUCAGCUGGUUUCAAUGUGGGGAUUAACGUAACCCAAGUGAGCAAUCUACUCUUCUGCAUGGAGAAUACUCUCAGGUGCGUUGUUUAGACGUGUUGUCUCCAGAUAGAGCUGUUCCACCCAGAUGGGAGCAAGGAUCGCCACACAAGGGAAAAUACAGACCUCCCAGUCGCCCCCUGUGGGUGGAGCUAUAGACUCAGUAAACACUGGCCUGGCAGAGGAGACUUCUCGGUGGAGCUGCCUCCAGGUUGUGCUGGAGACUUGGGAGUACAGCCUUUCUGAGUGCUCACCUAUGCCAACGGGACGGCAGGGGCUUUAUGGUUAUGCAGCGGUUCAUGUUAUGUAGCGGCCUGUGAGUAGCCUCCCAUCCAUGCUCCUGUCGCUGACCCCAAUAAAUUCGUCGGUUCAGCUCGA